CCCGGGCUGGCUGACGGGACGCGGUUUGUUUGCGUGUUUGUUUGUUGGUGCCGGUUCUUCCUGUCCGCCUCUCUGGCCCUCUCGGAAACGGGCAUAAAUGGAAAGGCCGAGUCUCACAGGCCGCCCUCCCCGCGGCUGACCAGGGUCGCCUUGGGCUCGCUGAACUGGGCCUGUGAGAAGUCGCUUUGCCCAGUCGAGCGUUUAGCGACCGAGAAGUGGUGGAUCGAGUGGAAGGGAAGAGGCGCGUAAUUGGCGUUUCUUGUCAAUUAGUCAAAACUGAAAAAGACCAAGCUCCGCGCAGUGCCACUGGCAUGCUUAAGAGCGUUUUCUCAGGGUGGUUGUGGUACGUAUGCAAAUGCAUUAAGGAAGAAUAUUUAAUCUGCGACUUCAACCGUGAAGUUAGAGCAAGCGAUAGCUCAGAAAAUGCAGAAAAAGCUGCUUGGAAUUUUGGUCUCACGCGGUGCUUCAAGAAACGUGACGUCAGUUUUAAAACUAGGGUUGAGCAUUCCCUUUUGUUAUUUUUUUAAAUCUCAGCAGAGAUGAUGAAAUCCUAUUCAAAACCAGUCACAGACUUCUCGUGGUUUACUAAUAGCCACAAGAUCAUAUCCAAAAUCCAAAUCACUUUCCAGAGCCCUCAUAAUAUCAUCCUGGGCCUUAUUUAUUCUGUGAAAUGUAAGAGUUCUACAACAGUGAUAUCUCAUGGACUUGCCAUUUCAUUAUUUCUUGGUAUCAUAACGACUUUACAGUCUCCUGGAGUCCUGGAGAGAAAUGCAGCUGACGAUGUAAUGGCCCUCCAAAAAGACCAGGCUCUAGCUGCCUUGCAGGACAGUCACACCAGAAGGAGAAGAUGUUAAGAUCACAGGAACUUUGUCUUGCAAAUCGUUUAUAUAAUCUAGAUAUGACUCACUGCUCUUGGUGUAAUCCCCAGGGAUCAGAAGCUCUGCUUUAAAAAACAGCUAGUCUCCAGAGAAGCAGUUUGUUUCUAUGUUUAGAAGAUGAGAAGAGUUCAAUUUAAAGGAUUCUUUUUCCAUUCCUUAAAAAAAAAGAGAGCGACAGAGAAAAGAAAGUCCAGCAAAGGCAAAUGCUCCCUUGGACAGAGAAUUUCAGCAGAUGUUCAUUGUCCCAAGGAUAAAACAGCUCCUACUUUGUAACUUAGCAUUUGCAAAUUUAGAGACUUAUAUAUUUCUAACUUGAAAUGAUUCAUGUGGUAUGAAUGAGAUGUAAAUAUUAAAAUUAUUUCUAUGAGAAAGUGGUGACAUUUUACUAUUGUCCACAGAAUGCUGAACACUGUUGCUAUAUUAUGAUAUGGUGAUGCGAUAAUUGUAGCCCAUCUGAGCGUUUCAAACUUCUCUAUUUUUUCCUUUUAACUAUUUACAACGGCACUCUGGAAAAUCAUUAAUAAUUAUAGUAACAUUUGUGGAGUACUUAAGAUGUAUGAGGCACUCACAAUUAUCAUUUGAGGCAAGUACUAUUAGUAUGUCCAUUUUAAAUGUGGAAACUAGGGUUCACAAAGGUUAAGUAACAUACUUAAAUUACAAUCCAAGAAGUGGUGGUAUUGGCAUUCAAAUGUAGUCAAUUUGACUGUAGGACAGGGGUCAUCCAGCCUUUUCUGUAAAAGCCAUGGAAUAAAUAUUUUAGGAUUUACAAGCCUUAUAGUCUGUAUUGCAAUUACCCAACUUUGUUUUUGCAAGACAAAAGGAACCUAAAAUAAUACGUAGAUGAAUUGCAAGGUUUGUUAGAAAACAACUUUAUUUAUGGACACUGAAAUUUUGAAUUUCUUAUAAUUUUCACAUGUCACAGGAUAUUAUCCUUCUUUGAUUUUUUCCCCAACUAUAACAAAUUCUUACCCCAUAGACUGAACCAAAACAUCUGAAAGGCUGGAUUGGGCCGACAGACUGGUUUGUUGACCACUGUUCAAGGCCCUUAAUGCUUUUACAGUUUUUCCAGUAGUGUGUUUAUGGUGAAUUUUUAAACAGCUAUUAAAACCACAUUUACAUUCUAGCAUUAUUGAGUAUUUCAGACUUUUAUUGUAUAAACAUAUGCUUUGGGGAAUAAGAUUAAUUUAUAUUGUAUAUAUUAAGGUGAAUCAUAUGAAAUUUGCCAAUAUUGAGCUUUAGACCUUUAAAAGAGGAAGUUUUAUGUUUCAACAUAGUAUCUAUAAAUGUAUGUUGCCUUAGGAGGUAAUGUUUUAUUAGAGUUAAGCAUAGACUAGUAUCCAGGGGAACUUUAUAUAAACAAUUCAAGCAUGAGAUGUGUGACAUAAUAGAUGAUCUUCAUGUUCCUUCAGAAUCUUUGCUAUGAAAUGUAUUUCAGUCAGUCUGCCUGUUCUAUUCCCCACUCUGUCUCUGGUGAAUCCUCUCUCAUCCCCUUCAUCUCUGGCAUGUACCCCAGUUCUUGUA